rnacentral:rRNA from 1 species
UACAGAGGGGGCAAGCGUUGUUCGGAAUUACUGGGCGUAAAGCGUGCGCAGGCGGUUAUGUAGGACAGAUGUGAAAUGCCCGGGCUUAACCUGGGAACUGCAUUUGUGACUGCAUGGCUAGAGUUUGGCAGAGGGGGGUAGAAUUCCACGUGUAGCAGUGAAAUGCGUAGAUAUGUGGAGGAACACCGAUGGCGAAGGCAGCCCCCUGGGUCAAGACUGACGCUCAUGCACGAAAGCGUGGGGAGCAAACAGG